GCAUAUCUAUAAAGCGGAGGGAAUAAGAAACCCAACAGGGAUUGCCCCUAGUAACGGGCGAGUGAAGCGGCAACAGCUCAAAAUUUGAAAUCUGGCUCUUUUAGGGUCCGAGUUGUAAUUUGUAGAGGGUGCUUUGGCGUUGACUGUGGUCUAAGUUCCUUGGAACAGGACGUCGCAGAGGGUGAGAAUCCCGUAUGUGGCCGCCAGUCUUCGCCGUGUAAAGCCCCUUCGACGAGUCGAGUUGUUUGGGAAUGCAGCUCUAAAUGGGAGGUAAAUUUCUUCUAAAGCUAAAUAUUGGCCAGAGACCGAUAGCGCACAAGUAGAGUGAUCGAAAGAUGAAAAGCACUUUGGAAAGAGAGUCAAAAAGCACGUGAAAUUGUUGAAAGGGAAGCGCUUGCAGCCAGACUUGCCUGUAGUUGCUCAUCCGGGCUUUUGCCCGGUGCACUCUUCUAUGGGCAGGCCAGCAUCAGUCCUGGCGGUUGGAUAAAUGUCUGCACAAUGUACCUCUCUUCGGGGAGGACUUAUAGGGCAGGCGGCAUACAACCAGCCGGGAUUGAGGUCCGCGCAUCUGCUAGGAUGCUGGCGUAAUGGCUGUAAGCGGCCCGUCUUGAAACACGGACCAAGGAGUCUAACAUCUAUGCGAGUGUUUGGGUGUCAAGCCCGAGCGCGUAAUGAAAGUGAACGGAGGUGGGAACCCCUCGGGGUGCACCAUCGACCGAUCCUGAUGUCUUCGGAUGGAUUUGAGUAAGAGCAUAGCUGUUGGGACCCGAAAGAUGGUGAACUAUGCCUGAAUAGGGUGAAGCCAGAGGAAACUCUGGUGGAGGCUCGCAGCGGGUUCUGACGGGCAAAUCGAUCGUCAAAUUUGGGCAUAGGGGGCGAAAGACUAAUCGAAACUAUCUAGUAGCUGGGUUCCUGCCGAAAG
rnacentral:rRNA from 1 species